rnacentral:rRNA from 1 species
AACGUAGGGGACAAGCGUUAUCCGGAUUUACUGGGCGUAAAGCGCCCGUAGGCGGCUUGAUAAGUCGGAUGUGAAAGCCCUCGGCUCAACCAAGGAAGUGCAUCCGAAACUGCUGAGCUUGAGUACUUAAGAGGAUCGCGGAAUUCCCGGUGUAGAGGUGAAAUUCGUAGAUAUCGGGAGGAACACCAGUGGCGAAGGCGGCGAUCUGGGAAGAUACUGACGCUGAGGUGCGAAAGCGUGGGGAGCAAACAGG